rnacentral:rRNA from 1 species
UACGAAGGGGGCUAGCGUUGCUCGGAAUGACUGGGCGUAAAGGGCGCGUAGGCGGAUUGUACAGUCAGGCGUGAAAUUCCCUGGCUCAACCUGGGGGCUGCGCUUGAGACGUGCGAUCUUGAGUGGGGAAGAGGGUCGUGGAAUUCCCAGUGUAGAGGUGAAAUUCGUAGAUAUUGGGAAGAACACCGGUGGCGAAGGCGGCGACCUGGUCCUUGACUGACGCUGAGGCGCGAAAGCGUGGGGAGCGAUCCGG